rnacentral:rRNA from 1 species
GGUUAAGCGACUAAGCGUACACGGUGGAUGCCCAGGCAGUCAGAGGCGAUGAAGGACGUGCUAAUCUGCGAUAAGCGUCGGUAAGGUGAUAUGAACCGUUAUAACCGGCGAUUUCCGAAUGGGGAAACCCAGUGUGUUUCGACACACUAUCAUUAACUGAAUCCAUAGGUUAAUGAGGCGAACCGGGGGAACUGAAACAUCUAAGUACCCCGAGGAAAAGAAAUCAACCGAGAUUCCCCCAGUAGCGGCGAGCGAACGGGGAGCAGCCCAGAGCCUGAAUCAGUGUGUGUGUUAGUGGAAGCGUCUGGAAAGGCGCGCGAUACAGGGUGACAGCCCCGUACACAAAAAUGCACAUGCUGUGAGCUCGAUGAGUAGGGCGGGACACGUGGUAUCCUGUCUGAAUAUGGGGGGACCAUCCUCCAAGGCUAAAUACUCCUGACUGACCGAUAGUGAACCAGUACCGUGAGGGAAAGGCGAAAAGAACCCCGGCGAGGGGAGUGAAAAAGAACCUGAAACCGUGUACGUACAAGCAGUGGGAGCACGCUUAGGCGUGUGACUGCGUACCUUUUGUAUAAUGGGUCAGCGACUUAUAUUCUGUAGCAAGGUUAACCGAAUAGGGGAGCCGAAGGGAAACCGAGUCUUAACUGGGCGUUAAGUUGCAGGGUAUAGACCCGAAACCCGGUGAUCUAGCCAUGGGCAGGUUGAAGGUUGGGUAACACUAACUGGAGGACCGAACCGACUAAUGUUGAAAAAUUAGCGGAUGACUUGUGGCUGGGGGUGAAAGGCCAAUCAAACCGGGAGAUAGCUGGUUCUCCCCGAAAGCUAUUUAGGUAGCGCCUCGUGAAUUCAUCUCCGGGGGUAGAGCACUGUUUCGGCAAGGGGGUCAUCCCGACUUACCAACCCGAUGCAAACUGCGAAUACCGGAGAAUGUUAUCACGGGAGACACACGGCGGGUGCUAACGUCCGUCGUGAAGAGGGAAACAACCCAGACCGCCAGCUAAGGUCCCAAAGUCAUGGUUAAGUGGGAAACGAUGUGGGAAGGCCCAGACAGCCAGGAUGUUGGCUUAGAAGCAGCCAUCAUUUAAAGAAAGCGUAAUAGCUCACUGGUCGAGUCGGCCUGCGCGGAAGAUGUAACGGGGCUAAACCAUGCACCGAAGCUGCGGCAGCGACGCUUAUGCGUUGUUGGGUAGGGGAGCGUUCUGUAAGCCUGUGAAGGUGUGCUGUGAGGCAUGCUGGAGGUAUCAGAAGUGCGAAUGCUGACAUAAGUAACGAUAAAGCGGGUGAAAAGCCCGCUCGCCGGAAGACCAAGGGUUCCUGUCCAACGUUAAUCGGGGCAGGGUGAGUCGACCCCUAAGGCGAGGCCGAAAGGCGUAGUCGAUGGGAAACAGGUUAAUAUUCCUGUACUUGGUGUUACUGCGAAGGGGGGACGGAGAAGGCUAUGUUGGCCGGGCGACGGUUGUCCCGGUUUAAGCGUGUAGGCUGGUUUUCCAGGCAAAUCCGGAAAAUCAAGGCUGAGGCGUGAUGACGAGGCACUACGGUGCUGAAGCAACAAAUGCCCUGCUUCCAGGAAAAGCCUCUAAGCAUCAGGUAACAUCAAAUCGUACCCCAAACCGACACAGGUGGUCAGGUAGAGAAUACCAAGGCGCUUGAGAGAACUCGGGUGAAGGAACUAGGCAAAAUGGUGCCGUAACUUCGGGAGAAGGCACGCUGAUAUGUAGGUGAAGUCCCUCGCGGAUGGAGCUGAAAUCAGUCGAAGAUACCAGCUGGCUGCAACUGUUUAUUAAAAACACAGCACUGUGCAAACACGAAAGUGGACGUAUACGGUGUGACGCCUGCCCGGUGCCGGAAGGUUAAUUGAUGGGGUUAGCCGCAAGGCGAAGCUCUUGAUCGAAGCCCCGGUAAACGGCGGCCGUAACUAUAACGGUCCUAAGGUAGCGAAAUUCCUUGUCGGGUAAGUUCCGACCUGCACGAAUGGCGUAAUGAUGGCCAGGCUGUCUCCACCCGAGACUCAGUGAAAUUGAACUCGCUGUGAAGAUGCAGUGUACCCGCGGCAAGACGGAAAGACCCCGUGAACCUUUACUAUAGCUUGACACUGAACAUUGAGCCUUGAUGUGUAGGAUAGGUGGGAGGCUUAGAAGUGUGGACGCCAGUCUGCAUGGAGCCGACCUUGAAAUACCACCCUUUAAUGUUUGAUGUUCUAACGUUGACCCGUAAUCCGGGUUGCGGACAGUGUCUGGUGGGUAGUUUGACUGGGGCGGUCUCCUCCUAAAGAGUAACGGAGGAGCACGAAGGUUGGCUAAUCCUGGUCGGACAUCAGGAGGUUAGUGCAAUGGCAUAAGCCAGCUUGACUGCGAGCGUGACGGCGCGAGCAGGUGCGAAAGCAGGUCAUAGUGAUCCGGUGGUUCUGAAUGGAAGGGCCAUCGCUCAACGGAUAAAAGGUACUCCGGGGAUAACAGGCUGAUACCGCCCAAGAGUUCAUAUCGACGGCGGUGUUUGGCACCUCGAUGUCGGCUCAUCACAUCCUGGGGCUGAAGUAGGUCCCAAGGGUAUGGCUGUUCGCCAUUUAAAGUGGUACGCGAGCUGGGUUUAGAACGUCGUGAGACAGUUCGGUCCCUAUCUGCCGUGGGCGCUGGAGAACUGAGGGGGGCUGCUCCUAGUACGAGAGGACCGGAGUGGACGCAUCACUGGUGUUCGGGUUGUCAUGCCAAUGGCACUGCCCGGUAGCUAAAUGCGGAAGAGAUAAGUGCUGAAAGCAUCUAAGCACGAAACUUGCCCCGAGAUGAGUUCUCCCUGACUCCUUGAGAGUCCUGAAGGAACGUUGAAGACGACGACGUUGAUAGGCCGGGUGUGUAAGCGCAGCGAUGCGUUGAGCUAACCGGUACUAAUGAACCGUGAGGCUUAACCUU